rnacentral:rRNA from 1 species
GUGGGGAAUAUUGCGCAAUGGGGGAAACCCUGACGCAGCGACGCCGUGUGAGGGAAGAAGGCUUUCGGGUCGUAAACCUCUGUCGGGAGGGAAGAACCUUCCAGGUCUGAACAAGCCCUGGAACUGACGGUACCUCCAAAGGAAGCACCGGCUAACUCCGUGCCAGCAGCCGCGGUAAUACGGAGGGUGCAAGCGUUAAUCGGAAUCACUGGGCGUAAAGCGCGCGUAGGCCGCCUUCUAAGUCGGACGUGAAAGCCCUCGGCUCAACCGAGGAACUGCGUUCGAAACUGGGAGGCUGGAGUCCUGGAGAGGGUGGCGGAAUUCCGGGUGUAGGAGUGAAAUCCGUAGAUAUCCGGAGGAACACCGGUGGCGAAGGCGGCCACCUGGACAGGUACUGACGCUGAGGCGCGAAAGCGUGGGGAGCAAACAGGAUUAGAAACCCGUGUAGUCC